rnacentral:rRNA from 1 species
CAGUCGCCGCGGGAAUACGGAGGGUGCAAGCGUUAAUCGGAAUUACUGGGCGUAAAGCGCACGCAGGCGGUCUGACAAGUCAGAUGUGAAAUCCCCGGGCUUAACCUGGGAACUGCAUUUGAAACUGUCAGGCUGGAGUCUUGUAGAGGGGGGUGGAAUUCCAGGUGUAGCGGUGAAAUGCGUAGAGAUCUGGAGGAAUACCGGUGGCGAAGGCGGCCCCCUGGACAAAGACUGACGCUCAGGUGCGAAAGCGUGGGGAGCAAACAGGAUUAGAUACCGGGUAGUCCCUGUCUCUUAUACA